UGUCAGCAGCCGCGGUAAUACAGACCGUGCAAGCGUUAAUCGGAUUUACUGGGCGUAAAGCGCGCGUAGGCGGCUGAUAAAGUCAAAUGUGAAAUCCCCGAGCUUAACUUGGGAAUUGCAUUCGAUACUGGUUAGCUAGAGUGUGGGAGAGGAUGGUAGAAUUCCAGGUGUAGCGGUGAAAUGCGUAGAGAUCUGGAGGAAUACCGAUGGCGAAGGCAGCCAUCUGGCCUAACACUGACACUGAGGUUCGAAAGCGUGGGUAGCAAACAGGAUUAGAUACCCCUGUAGUCC
rnacentral:rRNA from 1 species